GAGAGAGGACCAAUACGCGCAUCGGGCAAUAGCAGCGCACUGUGUCGGUCUUCGAUCCGUCCGCCAUUUAAAAGGAGCCAGACAAUUGUGACACAAUUGUCUCAAGCUUUAUUUGAAGUUUUUUUUCAUAUUUGUGAAUAAAUAAACAUAAAAUAAGUUGUCCCUACAAUGGUUUAUUGUGUUGCUUACCAGUGCAAAAGCCGUAGUGAGAGAAAGGAACCAAAUAUUAGGUUUCACAGAUUUCCUUCAGAUCCAGAAAGAAAAAAGUUGUGGAUUCUAGCUAUGAAAUUAAGGGAUUGGGAGCCAUCACCAAAUGAUGGAGUUUGUUCUAGACAUUUUGAGGAACAUUUUUUUUAUUCAACAGAUUGCAGAAGGCGUCUUCUCAAUGCAGCAGUCCCUUGUAUAUUUCCAGAAUAUCCUAAAUAUAUGCAGUCAAAACAGAGUGUCAAAAGAAAAGCAUUACAGCAAAAUUUGGACUCUGAACCAGGUGCUUCAAUUUCGACUGCUAGCCAAAAAAUGGAGCCGGAAUCACCCAGAAGAAAACGUUUAAAGAGGCAACUUUUUCGGCAAAAAGAAAAAAAUAAAGAGCAAACAAGAAGAAUUAAAGUUCUCCGGCAAAAGGUGAAGAGAUACAAAAAAAAGUCAUUUCACUAAAACAUCUUGUUAAUGAUUUAUAUAAAAAAACUUAUUAUUGUCAGAACAAAUGUCCAUGUUUGAAAGUAUGCCUAACACAGUUCAAGAAUUGCGAAAAAGAAAAUUUACUAGAAGAGGUAAAUAUUCGCCUGAAUUACGUAAAUUUGCAAUUACCUUAAGUUUCUUUUUAUCCAAGGGGUAUGAUUAUGUUAGGCAAACUUUCGAUACUUGCUUGCCUCACCGUAGUACCAUAGGCAAAUGGUUUAAAAACAUAAAUGCUGAGCCAGGUUUUAGCUGAGAAGCAUUUGAUGCUUUAAAAAAAUAUGUUAGC